rnacentral:rRNA from 1 species
AUGUGGUUAGAAGAUGAAAGAUAUGAUGAUUCAGAACAAAAUAGUGAUUUCUAUAACUCACUAGAUGAUGUGGGACUACAUAAUUUAGAGAAUGCAAUGGAAGCCAUGGAAGUAGAAAGUAGUGGUAAAAGAAGAAGGGGAUAUGGUGAAUCAUCUGUAAAAAGAGAAGGAGAAAGAGAGAGACCUACCAGGACAGCUGGACAAUGGCCUCCAGAAAAAGAUGAUUACCAGCCUACAUAUAUCCCAGGACAAUAUAGAUACAUGGGUACUAAAAGAAGAGAUUUUGAAAAACCAGUGCAAUUCCAAAAUUAUAAAAAUGAUGGUGCUAUAUUAAACCUAGCAGCUCAUGACCCAAUAGAUUGGCCGAAUAUAAUCAGCAUAUGGAAAGGUUUAAUAGUACAAAAAUAUAUACAAAAUCAGUAUAGCAUAGGCGCUAAGGUAGAAGAUAUGUUAACAUAUCUUGAAACAUUUUUAGGAGAAUCUGUAAAAGUUCUUUGGGAACAAUGGGUAGAAUCAUACCCUAGUCAAUAUGAAGAAUUAAAAAGGGCAGGAAGUAACCCUAAUAACUUUGCGAAUGUUAUCUCAAAUAUGAUCAUAGCAGAAGAUCCUGAAUUAGGACAUACCUCAUUGCAAAAUGAAAGGUUAAGAGAAAUAGAAAAAUUAACAUUAACUAGCUGGAAAGGUAUUAAAGAAUUUUCUCAGCAUUAUUUGUAUAAUGCUACUACUGCUAAACAAGGUUUUAAUGUAGGCGUAGUAGAAAGAUAUUUUAAUAAGUUGCCUGACCCCCUAGGGUCAAUAAUAUUUGAAGAAUAUAAAAAGGAAACGGCGGGAAAUGUGGUAAAUAUAUCUCAAGCUGUAACAUUUGUUUUCAAACAAUUAAGAAAGGUAUGUACGAGUAUUCAAGCCCAAAGAUCUAUGAAGAAAUCAGAUUAUAAUUUUUGUAAUAAUAUUGUCCAAAUACCACUUACAUAUGGAGAAGAAAAAUAUAUUGUUCGAUUACCAUUCAAAGAAGUGUUAGGAAUAAGGAUCCCAGUUAAGAUUGUUCUGAAGCCAAAUAUUUCAUAUAAAGUACUGGCACUAUUAGAUACUGGUUGCACUAAAAAUAUCAUCCAUGAUAAAUAUUUUAUGAGAUGUCCCGAAAUAGUUGAAACUAUAGAUGAUAAUAAAGCUGAAGUAUCUACCGAUAUGUCAGGAAUAAAGAAGAUCCAUAACCAGCUAGCAUAUAAUAUUGAAGCUUACAUAAAUGGCACAAAAUAUAUAAUAGAUGAAAUUACAAUAAGAGAUUUGUCAGUAAUAAAUGAUGACAUGAUAAUAGGGUUAAGAUUUUUACAACAAUCUUUACAAACCACAAUCAUACAUGAAGAGGGGGUAACAUUUAUUCCUUAUCAAGAUAAUGUUCCAUACAUAUCUGAAGUGCGAAAACAAAGAAAGUCCUUGCAAAAUGUAGAAAUAUCUAAUGUAGAUAAUGAAUAUAGCACAAGUCCAGAUUCCCUUGAAUUCUGUAAAGACGAAGAACUUAGUGAGACCAUAGAAGAAUAUCAUAUAGAAAAUACAUGUACUGAAUGCAUUGGGUUGCAAUCAUUCUCUCCAAACUGGUAUAGAGAUAUAAAAUCCAAAAAGGAUAUAGAUAAGAUUGUGCAAAGACUAGAAAGUAUACAAAUUAUUGGAGAAAUACCAAUGAAACAUUGGGAUAAGAACUCUAUAGUUUGCAAAAUAAAUAUCAUAAAUCUAGAUUAUAUAAUUAAGUCAGGACCAAUAGAAGCAACUCCUAAAGAUAUCGAAGAAUUCAAAAUGCAUAUUGAAGAGUUAUUAAAGUUAAAAGCUAUAAGAGAAAGCAGAAGCCCUCAUCGAUCUGCUGCUUUUAUAGUUAGAAAUCAUGCUGAAGAAGUUAGAGGUAAAUCUAGAAUGGUAAUUAAUUUUAAAAGGCUUAAUGAUAAUACAGUUGACGAUGCAUACAACAUACCUAAUAAACAGGAAUGGAUUAACAGAAUACAAGGAAGUAAAUAUUUCUCUAAAUUCGACUUAAAGGCAGGAUUUUGGCAAGUAAAAAUGGCUGAAGAAUCUAUUCCCUGGACAGCAUUUACUUGUCCACAAGGCCAUUAUGAAUGGCUAGUAAUGCCAUUAGGCCUAAAGAAUGCACCUGCACUUUUUCAAAGAAAGAUGCAAAAUAUAUUUAAUGAGAAUCAAGCAUUUAUAUUAGUAUACGUAGAUGAUUUGUUAGUAUUCUCAAAAUCUUACAAAGAGCAUAUAGCCCAUCUUGAAGUGUUCUUUCGAAAGGUAGAACAAAAUGGGCUCAUACUGUCCAAAAAGAAGAUGGAAAUCUGCAAAGAAAAAAAAUAA